CUGGAGUCUGCAACCCGACUCCACGAAGUUGGAUUCGCUAGUAAUCGCGCAUCAGCCAUGGCGCGGUGAAUACGUUCCCGGGCCUUGUACACACCGCCCGUCAAGCCAUGGGAGCCGGGGGCGCCUGAAGUCCGGGACCGCGAGGACCGGCCUAGGGCGAAACUGGUGACUGGGGCUAAGUCGUAACAAGGUAUC
rnacentral:rRNA from 1 species